rnacentral:rRNA from 1 species
ACGACGCUGGCGGCGUGCCUAAUACAUGCAAGUCGAACGGUCUUUCUAUGGAAGCUUGCUUCCACUGAGAAGAUGGUGGCGAACGGGUGAGUAACACGUGGGUAACCUGCCCAUAAGAGGGGGAUAACAUCCGGAAACGGGUGCUAAUACCGCAUAGUUUUCUUGAUCGCAUGAUUGAGAAAGGGAAGACGGCCUUUGUGCUGUCGCUUAUGGAUGGACCCGCGGCGUAUUAGUUAGUUGGUGAGGUAAUGGCUCACCAAGACGAUGAUACGUAGCCGACCUGAGAGGGUGAUCGGCCACAUUGGGACUGAGACACGGCCCAAACUCCUACGGGAGGCAGCAGUAGGGAAUCUUCCGCAAUGGACGAAAGUCUGACGGAGCAACGCCGCGUGAGUGAAGAAGGUUUUUCCGGAUCGUAAAACUCUGUUGUCAGAGAAGAACAAGUUGGAGAGUAACUGCUCCAGCCUUGACGGUAUCUGACCAGAAAGCCACGGCUAACUACGUGCCAGCCGCAGC